GGCCAACCGAGCGGCCAGGUGGAGACAGGGGCACCCGCUCCCCAGAAGAUGCCAGCAGCUCAUGGUACCAGGUGGUCCCUCAGGUAGAGAAUGUUGCUGUGCCCAUAUGGGGCCCUGGCCAGGAUAUCAUCGUAUACUGUAAGUUUGCAAUGAGACACUACAGUAUAGAUGAUGUACUGGUUUGGGCCACCCUUCAGCUCUGGAACCCAGGAGCAGCGGGAGAGCAAUUGGGCCAGGCCCCAAGAACGGCACACAAGGAGCGUGGGGAGGAAACCGUUACCAUUACUGUGCUUAGUAAUGGUAACGGUUCUCUUGCUGCGCUCAGUGACCGUGCCCACAAGCAGAGGACGGAAGAGCCUGGCACUGGACAAGGAAGGGGGGGAGAAUCUCAUUUCUACUGAUAUUCUGUACAAAUAAAAGUGAGAACCAAA